rnacentral:rRNA from 1 species
GAUGAACGCUGGCGGCGUGCCUAAGACAUGCAAGUUGUGCGGCAACAUGUUUCUCACUUUGGUUCGGAACGGUAGAUAGUAGUUUGUAGAUGGUAGAUGGGUUUUCCCAACUACUAACUGCCAGCUACCAACUACCAAAAUUCCGAGCUGGUGUGAGGAAUGAUGGCGAGCGGCGGACGGGUGAGUAAUGCAUAGGAAUGUACCCCAAAGUGAGGGAUAAGCACCAGAAAUGGUGUCUAAUACCGCAUGUGCUCUUCGGAGUAAAGCUUUUAGCGCUUUGGGAGCAGCCUAUGUCUGAUUAGCUAGUUGGUAGGGUAAAGCCUACCAAGGCGACGAUCAGUAGCUGG